rnacentral:rRNA from 1 species
AUUGAACGCUGGCGGAAUGCUUUACACAUGCAAGUCGAACGGUAGAGGGGGCAACCCCUCGAGAGUGGCGAACGGGUGAGUAAUAUAUCGGAACGUGCCCAGUCGUGGGGGAUAACGUAGCGAAAGUUACGCUAAUACCGCAUACGAUCUAAGGAUGAAAGCGGGGGAUCGCAAGACCUCGCUCGAUUGGAGCGGCCGAUAUCAGAGUAGGUAGUUGGUGGGGUAAAGGCUCACCAAGCCAACGAUCUGUAGCUGGUCUGAGAGGACGACCAGCCACACUGGAACUGAGACACGGUCCAGACUCCUACGGGAGGCAGCAGUGGGGAAUUUUGGACAAUGGACGCAAGUCUGAUCCAGCCAUUCCGCGUGCAGAAUGAAGGCCCUCGGGUUGUAAACUGCUUUCGUACGGAACGAAAAGGUCUCUCUUAAUACGGGGGACUCAUGACGGUACCGUAAGAAUAAGCACCGGCUAACUACGUGCCAGCAGCCGCGGUAA